UGAUAGUUAGUGGGUUAGUCAGAGGGUUGAGAUCCCUGAUAGUUAGAGGGUUAGUCAAAGGGUUGAGAUCCCUGAUAGUUAGUGGGUUAGUCAGAGGGUUGAGAUCCCUGAUAGUUAGUGGGUUAGUCAGAGGGUUGAGAUCAAAAUCAAAUAAAAUCCACUUGUAUUGGCCACACACACAUGGUUAGCAGAUGUUAAUGUGCCUGUAGCGAAAUGCUUGUGCUUCUAGUUCCGACAGUGCAGUAAGUGGGUUAGUCAGAAGGUUGAGAUCUCAGAGGGAGAGAGGAAGAGAGGGAGAGAGAGAGAGAGGGAGAGAGAGAGAGAGAGAGAGAGAAAGAGAGAGAUGGGGAGAGAGAGAGUGAGAGAAAGAGGGGGAGAGAGAGGGAGGGUGAGAGAGAGGGAGAGAGAGAGAGGGGGGGGAGAACAUAGCAGCCCAUGAAUUUAAGCAACAGCAGUAACAAAGAAGAAGCAACAACAACAACAACAACAACAACAGGAAGAAACAACAGCCGCAGGAAGCAAAAACAAAGCGGAAGCUCUUUUUGAAGCUGGUUAUCUAUUCAUGCAUGUGAAUGAGACGCAUGAGAGGAAGGACAAUCCAAAACGUCCACCUGGCUGUGUGACCGUUUGUGUCCAUUGUCUCAGUGGCCUCUCCCUCUCCAAACACCAGGACAACCAGGACACUGGCUGAGUCCCAAAUGGCACCCAAUGCCCUUCAUAGUGAACUAGUUAGCACAGGAAACAGGGUGCCAUUUGGGAGGGACAGUGAUUUGAAAGUCAAGCGAACCAUUGGGUGACUCACCGCAGCGCUUGUCUUUGAUGCCUCCAAUACCGCGUCAGAUACUCUGCCAGGACUCACUUGAAAAGCCUAUGAACACACACAUAGACAGGUCUGGUCUGGUCUGGUACACUAUGAACACACAUAGACAGGUCUGGUCUGGUCUGGUACACUAUGAACACA
rnacentral:lncRNA from 13 species